AACGAACGCUGGCGGCAGGCCUAACACAUGCAAGUCGAGCGAGGACUUCGGUCCUAGCGGCGGACGGGUGAGUAACGCGUGGGAACGUGCCCUUUGCUUCGGAAUAGCCCUGGGAAACUGGGAGUAAUACCGGAUGAGCCCUUUGGGGGAAAGAUUUAUCGGCGAAGGAUCGGCCCGCGUUGGAUUAGGUAGUUGGUGGGGUAAUGGCCUACCAAGCCGACGAUCCAUAGCUGGUUUGAGAGGAUGAUCAGCCACACUGCGACUGAGACACGGCCCAGACUCCUACGGGAGGCAGCAGUGGGGAAUCUUAGACAAUGGGGGAAACCCUGAUCUAGCCAUGCCGCGUGAGCGAUGAAGGCCUUAGGGUUGUAAAGCUCUUUCAGCUGGGAAGAUAAUGACGGUACCAGCAGAAGAAGCCCCGGCUAACUCCGUG
rnacentral:rRNA from 1 species